rnacentral:rRNA from 1 species
AGAGUUUGAUCAUGGCUCAGAGCGAACGCUGGCGGCAGGCUUAACACAUGCAAGUCGAGCGGACGUAGCAAUACGUCAGCGGCAGACGGGUGAGUAACGCGUGGGAACGUACCUUUUGGUUCGGAACAACCCAGGGAAACUUGGGCUAAUACCGGAUAAGCCCUUACGGGGAAAGAUUUAUCGCCGAAAGAUCGGCCCGCGUCUGAUUAGCUAGUUGGUGAGGUAAUGGCUCACCAAGGCGACGAUCAGUAGCUGGUCUGAGAGGAUGAUCAGCCACAUUGGGACUGAGACACGGCCCAAACUCCUACGGGAGGCAGCAGUGGGGAAUAUUGGACAAUGGGCGCAAGCCUGAUCCAGCCAUGCCGCGUGAGUGAUGAAGGCCCUAGGGUUGUAAAGCUCUUUUGUGCGGGAAGAUAAUGACGGUACCGCAAGAAUAAGCCCCGGCUAACUUCGUGCCAGCAGCCGCGGUAAUACGAAGGGGGCUAGCGUUGCUCGGAAUCACUGGGCGUAAAGGGUGCGUAGGCGGGUCUUUAAGUCAGGGGUGAAAUCCUGGAGCUCAACUCCAGAACUGCCUUUGAUACUGAAGAUCUUGAGUUCGGGAGAGGUGAGUGGAACUGCGAGUGUAGAGGUGAAAUUCGUAGAUAUUCGCAAGAACACCAGUGGCGAAGGCGGCUCACUGGCCCGAUACUGACGCUGAGGCACGAAAGCGUGGGGAGCAAACAGGAUUAGAUACCCUGGUAGUCCACGCCGUAAAUGAUGAAUGCCAGCCGUUAGUGGGUUUACUCACUAGUGGCGCAGCUAACGCUUUAAGCAUUCCGCCUGGGGAGUACGGUCGCAAGAUUAAAACUCAAAGGAAUUGACGGGGGCCCGCACAAGCGGUGAGCAUGUGUUUAAUUCGACGCAACGCGCAGAACCUUACCAGCCCUUGAACAUCCCGGUCCGCGGACUCCAGAGACGGAGUCU